GACGAACGCUGGCGGCGUGCUUAACACAUGCAAGUCGAACGGUGAAGCGCCUUCCUUUUUGGUGGGUGGGGAUGAGUGGCGAACGGGGGAGUAACACGUGAGUAACCUGCUCCCUUCUUCUGGAUAACCGCAUGAAAGUGUGGCUAAUACGGGAUAUUCUGUGUCUGUCGCAUGAUGGGUCCGUGGAAGAUUGUGUGUCGGUGUGGGAUGGGCUCGCGUCCUAUCAGCUUGUUGGUGGGGUGAUGGCCUACCAAGGCGGUGAGGGGUAGCCGGCCUGAGAGGGUCGGCGGCCACACAGGGGCUGAGCGGCGGCGACGCCUCCUGCGGGGGGCAGCAGGGGGGAAUAGUGCACGGUGGGAGGCAUGCUGAUGCAGCGCCGCCGGGUGAGGGAUGGAGGCCUGCGGGUUGUGAACCUCUUUCGCCAGUGAAGCAGGCCUGCCUCGUGUGUGGGUGGGUUGACGGUAGCUGGAUAAGAAGCGCCGGCUAACUACGUG
rnacentral:rRNA from 1 species